CCAUAUGGUCGACCUGCAGGCGGCCGCGAAUUCACUAGUGAUUAGAGUUGAUCAUGGGUCAGAACGAACGCUGGCGGCAUGCCUAACACAUGCAAGUCGAACGAAGGCUUCGGCCUUAGUGGCGCACGGGUGCGUAACGCGUGGGAAUCUGCCCCUUGGUUCGGAAUAACAGUUAGAAAUGACUGCUAAUACCGGAUGAUAUCGCGAGAUCAAAGAUUUAUCGCCUGAGGAUGAGCCCGCGUAGGAUUAGCUAGUUGGUGUGGUAAAGGCGCACCAAGGCGACGAUCCUUAGCUGGUCUGAGAGGAUGAUUAGCCACACUGGGACUGAGACACGGCCCAGACUCCUACGGGAGGCAGCAGUGGGGAAUAUUGGACAAUGGGCGAAAGCCUGAUCCAGCAAUGCCGCGUGAGUGAUGAAGGCCUUAGGGCUGUAAAGCUCUUUUACCCGGGAUGAUAAUGACAGUACCGGGAGAAUAAGC
rnacentral:rRNA from 1 species